GAGCGGUAGAGAGAAGCUUGCUUCUCUUGAGAGCGGCGGACGGGUGAGUAAUGCCUAGGAAUCUGCCUGGUAGUGGGGGAUAACGUUCGGAAACGGACGCUAAUACCGCAUACGUCCUACGGGAGAAAGCAGGGGACCUUCGGGCCUUGCGCUAUCAGAUGAGCCUAGGUCGGAUUAGCUAGUUGGUGGGGUAAUGGCUCACCAAGGCGACGAUCCGUAACUGGUCUGAGAGGAUGAUCAGUCACACUGGAACUGAGACACGGUCCAGACUCCUACGGGAGGCAGCAGUGGGGAAUAUUGGACAAUGGGCGAAAGCCUGAUCCAGCCAUGCCGCGUGUGUGAAGAAGGUCUUCGGAUUGUAAAGCACUUUAAGUUGGGAGGAAGGGUUGCAGAUUAAUACUCUGCAAUUUUGACGUUACCGACAGAAUAAGCACCGGCUAACUCUGUG
rnacentral:rRNA from 1 species